rnacentral:rRNA from 1 species
AUUGAACGCUGGCGGAAUGCUUUACACAUGCAAGUCGAACGGCAGCACAGACUUCGGUCUGGUGGCGAGUGGCGAACGGGUGAGUAAUGUAUCGGAACGUGCCCAGUCGUGGGGGAUAACGUAGUGAAAAUUACGCUAAUACCGCAUACGAUCUAUGGAUGAAAGCGGGGGAUCGCAAGACCUCGCGCGAUUGGAGCGGCCGAUAUCAGAUUAGGAAGUUGGUGGGGUAAAGGCCCACCAAGCCAACGAUCUGUAGCUGGUCUGAGAGGACGACCAGCCACACUGGAACUGAGACACGGUCCAGACUCCUACGGGAGGCAGCAGUGGGGAAUUUUGGACAAUGGGCGAAAGCCUGAUCCAGCCAUUCCGCGUGCAGGAUGAAGGCCCUCGGGUUGUAAACUGCUUUUGUACAGAACGAAAAGGUUUCUACUAAUACUAGGAGCUCAUGACGGUACUGUAAGAAUAAGCACCGGCUAACUACGUGCCAGCCGCCGCAGUAA